rnacentral:rRNA from 1 species
AGUGAACGCUGGCGGUAGGCCUAACACAUGCAAGUCGAACGGCAGCACAGUAAGAGCUUGCUCUUACGGGUGGCGAGUGGCGGACGGGUGAGGAAUACAUCGGAAUCUACUUUUUCGUGGGGGAUAACGUAGGGAAACUUACGCUAAUACCGCAUACGACCUACGGGUGAAAGCAGGGGAUCUUCGGACCUUGCGCGAUUGAAUGAGCCGAUGUCGGAUUAGCUAGUUGGCGGGGUAAAGGCCCACCAAGGCGACGAUCCGUAGCUGGUCUGAGAGGAUGAUCAGCCACACUGGAACUGAGACACGGUCCAGACUCCUACGGGAGGCAGCGGUGGGGAAUAUUGGACAAUGGGCGCAAGCCUGAUCCAGCCAUACCGCGUGGGUGAAGGAGGCCUUCGGGUUGUAAAGCCCUUUUGUUGGGAAAGAAAAGCAGCAGGUUAAUACCCCGCUGUUCUGACGGUACCCAAAGAAUAAGCACCGGCUAACUUCGUG